CCCUUAGAUGUUCUGGGCCGCACGCGUGCUACACUGAGUGGAUCAGCGGGUCAGGUUGCGCGAAAGUGUUUCCUAAUCUUUAAAUCCGCUCGUGAUGGGGAUUGACGGUUGCAAUUUUCCGUCAUGAACGAGGAAUACCUUGUAAGCGCGGGUCAUCAUCCCGCGCUGAAUACGUCCCUGCCCUUUGUACACACCGCCCGUCGCUCCUCCCGAUUGAGUGGUCCGGUGAGGCUUUGGGAUCUGAGCGGAAAGAGCGUUUCGCUGUUUCUGCCCGGAAAACUCAGUCGAACCUUAUCAUUUAGAGGAAGGAGAAGUCGUAACA
rnacentral:rRNA from 1 species